rnacentral:rRNA from 1 species
AGAGUUUGAUCCUGGCUCAGGAUGAACGCUAGCGGCAGGCCUAAUACAUGCAAGGCGAACGGCAAGCGGUGCAGCAAUGCACUGCCCAGAGUGCCGUAAGGGUGCGUAACACGUAUGCAACCUGCCCGCGACAGGAGGACAGCUCCCCGAAAGGGGAAUUAACCCUCCAUGGGACCGCGCGAGGGCAUCCGAGCGCGGUU